GACGAACGCUGGCGGCGUGCUUAACACAUGCAAGUCGAACGAAGAGCGAUGGAAGCUUGCUUCUAUCAAUCUUAGUGGCGAACGGGUGAGUAACGCGUAAUCAACCUGCCCUUCAGAGGGGGACAACAGUUGGAAACGACUGCUAAUACCGCAUACGAUCUAACCUCGGCAUCGAGGAAAGAUGAAAGGUGGCCUCUAUGUAUAAGCUAUCACUGAAGGAGGGGAUUGCGUCUGAUUAGCUAGUUGGAGGGGUAACGGCCCACCAAGGCGAUGAUCAGUAGCCGGUCUGAGAGGAUGAACGGCCACAUUGGGACUGAGACACGGCCCAGACUCCUACGGGAGGCAGCAGUAGGGAAUCUUCCGCAAUGGACGAAAGUCUGACGGAGCAACGCCGCGUGAGUGAUGACGGCCUUCGGGUUGUAAAGCUCUGUUAAUCGGGACGAAAGGCCUUCUUGCGAAUAGUGAGAAGGAUUGACGGUACCGGAAUAGAAAGCCACGGCUAACUACGUG
rnacentral:rRNA from 1 species